AUUGAACGCUGGCGGCAUGCCUUACACAUGCAAGUCGAACGGCAGCACGGGUGCUUGCACCUGGUGGCGAGUGGCGAACGGGUGAGUAAUACAUCGGAACAUGUCCUGUAGUGGUGGAUAGCCCGGCGAAAGCCGGAUUAAUACCGCAUACGAUCUACGUGUGAAAGCGUGGGACCUGCGAGCCUCGCGCUGUAGGGUUGGCCGAUGGCUGAUUAGCUAGUUGGGGGGGUAAAGGCCUACCAAGGCGACGAUCAGUAGCUGGUCUGAGAGGACGACCAGCCACCUUGGAACUGAGCCACGGCCAAGACUCCUACGGGAGGCAGCAGUGGGGAAUGUUGGACAAUGGGCGAAAGCCUGAUACAGCAAUGCCGCGUGUGUGAAGAAGGCCUUCGGGUUGUAAAGCACUUUUGUCCGGAAAGAAAUCCUUGGCCCUAAUACGGUCGGGGGAUGACGGUACCGGAAGAAUAAGCACCGGCUAACUACGUG
rnacentral:rRNA from 1 species